rnacentral:rRNA from 2 species
GGGCCGGCGACUAUACAUGCAAGUCGAACGAACUCUGGUAUUGAUUGGUGCUUGCAUCAUGAUUUACAUUUGAGUGAGUGGCGAACUGGUGAGUAACACGUGGGAAACCUGCCCAGAAGCGGGGGAUAACACCUGGAAACAGAUGCUAAUACCGCAUAACAACUUGGACCGCAUGGUCCGAGUUUGAAAGAUGGCUUCGGCUAUCACUUUUGGAUGGUCCCGCGGCGUAUUAGCUAGAUGGUGAGGUAACGGCUCACCAUGGCAAUGAUACGUAGCCGACCUGAGAGGGUAAUCGGCCACAUUGGGACUGAGACACGGCCCAAACUCCUACGGGAGGCAGCAGUAGGGAAUCUUCCACAAUGGACGAAAGUCUGAUGGAGCAACGCCGCGUGAGUGAAGAAGGGUUUCGGCUCGUAAAACUCUGUUGUUAAAGAAGAACAUAUCUGAGAGUAACUGUUCAGGUAUUGACGGUAUUUAACCAGAAAGCCACGGCUAACUACGUGCCAGCAGCCGCGGUAAUACGUAGGUGGCAAGCGUUGUCCGGAUUUAUUGGGCGUAAAGCGAGCGCAGGCGGUUUUUUAAGUCUGAUGUGAAAGCCUUCGGCUCAACCGAAGAAGUGCAUCGGAAACUGGGAAACUUGAGUGCAGAAGAGGACAGUGGAACUCCAUGUGUAGCGGUGAAAUGCGUAGAUAUAUGGAAGAACACCAGUGGCGAAGGCGGCUGUCUGGUCUGUAACUGACGCUGAGGCUCGAAAGUAUGGGUAGCAAACAGGAUUAGAUACCCUGGUAGUCCAUACCGUAAACGAUGAAUGCUAAGUGUUGGAGGGUUUCCGCCCUUCAGUGCUGCAGCUAACGCAUUAAGCAUUCCGCCUGGGGAGUACGGCCGCAAGGCUGAAACUCAAAGGAAUUGACGGGGGCCCGCACAAGCGGUGGAGCAUGUGGUUUAAUUCGAAGCUACGCGAAGAACCUUACCAGGUCUUGACAUACUAUGCAAAUCUAAGAGAUUAGACGUUCCCUUCGGGGACAUGGAUACAGGUGGUGCAUGGUUGUCGUCAGCUCGUGUCGUGAGAUGUUGGGUUAAGUCCCGCAACGAGCGCAACCCUUAUUAUCAGUUGCCAGCAUUAAGUUGGGCACUCUGGUGAGACUGCCGGUGACAAACCGGAGGAAGGUGGGGAUGACGUCAAAUCAUCAUGCCCCUUAUGACCUGGGCUACACACGUGCUACAAUGGAUGGUACAACGAGUUGCGAACUCGCGAGAGUAAGCUAAUCUCUUAAAGCCAUUCUCAGUUCGGAUUGUAGGCUGCAACUCGCCUACAUGAAGUCGGAAUCGCUAGUAAUCGCGGAUCAGCAUGCCGCGGUGAAUACGUUCCCGGGCCUUGUACACACCGCCCGUCACACCAUGAGAGUUUGUAACACCCAAAGUCGGUGGGGUAACCUUUUAGGAACCAGCCGCCUAAGGGUAGAA